GCCAGCGAGGUGUAGUGGUUUGAGUACUGGACUACAACUCUGGAGACCAGGGUUUGAAUCCCAGCUCAGCCA
rnacentral:tRNA from 1 species